rnacentral:rRNA from 1 species
UACGAAGGGUGCAAGCGUUACUCGGAAUUACUGGGCGUAAAGCGUGCGUAGGUGGUGAGUUAAGUCUGUCGUGAAAGCCCCGGGCUCAACCUGGGAAUGGCGAUGGAUACUGGCUCGCUAGAGUGCGGUAGAGGAGAGUGGAAUUCCCGGUGUAGCAGUGAAAUGCGUAGAGAUCGGGAGGAACAUCUGUGGCGAAGGCGACUGCCUGGACCAGCACUGACACUGAGGCACGAAAGCGUGGGGAGCAAACAGG